rnacentral:rRNA from 1 species
UACGAAGGGGGCUAGCGUUGCUCGGAAUCACUGGGCGUAAAGGGUGCGUAGGCGGGUCUUUAAGUCAGGGGUGAAAUCCUGGAGCUCAACUCCAGAACUGCCUUUGAUACUGAAGAUCUUGAGUUCGGGAGAGGUGAGUGGAACUGCGAGUGUAGAGGUGAAAUUCGUAGAUAUUGGGAAGAACACCAGUGGCGAAGGCGGCUAUCUGGACCGUAACUGACGCUGAGGCGCGAAAGCGUGGGGAGCAAACAGG